rnacentral:rRNA from 1 species
AUUGAACGCUGGCGGAAUGCUUUACACAUGCAAGUCGAACGGCAGCACGGGGGCAACCCUGGUGGCGAGUGGCGAACGGGUGAGUAAUACAUCGGAACGUGCCCAAUCGUGGGGGAUAACGUAGCGAAAGCUACGCUAAUACCGCAUACGAUCUACGGAUGAAAGCGGGGGAUCGCAAGACCUCGCGCGAAUGGAGCGGCCGAUGGCAGAUUAGGUAGUUGGUGGGGUAAAGGCUCACCAAGCCGACGAUCUGUAGCUGGUCUGAGAGGACGACCAGCCACACUGGGACUGAGACACGGCCCAGACUCCUACGGGAGGCAGCAGUGGGGAA